GGAAUCUUCGGCAAUGGGGGCAACCCUGACCGAGCAACGCCGCGUGAGUGAAGAAGGUUUUCGGAUCGUAAAGCUCUGUUGUAAGAGAAGAACGUGUGUGAGAGUGGAAAGUUCACACAGUGACGGUAACUUACCAGAAAGGGACGGCUAACUCCGUGCCAGCAGCCGCGGUAAUACGGAGGAUGCGAGCGUUAUCCGGAUUUAUUGGGUUUAAAGGGUGCGUAGGCGGAGCUUUAAGCGUGAGGUGAAAUGCCCGGGCUCAACCUGGGGACUGCCUCGCGAACUGGAGUUCUGGAAUGCCCCUGCCGUGGGAGGAAUGUGUGGUGUAGCGGUGAAAUGCAUAGAGAUCACACAGAACACCGAUAGCGAAGGCAUCUCACGAAGGGGUGAUUGACGCUGAGGCACGAAAGCGUGGGGAUCAAACA
rnacentral:rRNA from 1 species